AAAGUGUCCUAUGCAACUGCCAUGGAUUGGUUUAUAGCCGUCUGCUUUGCUUUU
rfam:Erinaceus europaeus unplaced genomic scaffold scaffold00037, whole genome shotgun sequence